CUACGGGUCGCUGCAGUGGGGAAUAUUGCACAAUGGGCGCAAGCCUGAUGCAGCCAUGCCGCGUGUAUGAAGAAGGCCUUCGGGUUGUAAAGUACUUUCAGCGGGGAGGAAGGGAGUAAAGUUAAUACCUUUGCUCAUUGACGUUACCCGCAGAAGAAGCACCGGCUAAAUCCGUGCCAGUCAGCCGCGGUAAUACGGAGGGUGCAAGCGUUAAUCGGAAUUACUGGGCGUAAAGCGCACGCAGGCGGUUUGUUAAAUCAGAUGUGAAAUCCCCGGGCUCAACCUGGGAACUGCAUCUGAUAUUGGGAAGAUUGAGUCUCGUAGAGGGGGGUAGAAUUCCAGGGGUAGCGGUGAAAUGCGUAGAGAUCUGGAGGAAUAUCGGUGGCGAAGGCGGCCCCCUGGACGAAGACUGACGCUCAGGUGCGAAAGCGUGGGGAGCAAACAGGAUUAGAUACCCCAGUAGUC
rnacentral:rRNA from 1 species